rnacentral:RNase_P_RNA from 1 species
UCGGUCGGACGGAUGGUCGCCGCUUUUGGAAAGGAUGAAUGAUGAACGAUGAACGAUGAAUGGAAAACAAGCAGUGUCUUUGAUUCAUCGUUCAUUGUUCAUCAUUCAUCCUUUCCAAAGGGGGAGGAAAGUCCGGGCUCCAAAGGGCGCGGUGGUGGAUAACGUCCACCCCCGGUAACGGUUCGGGCUCCCCGGCCUGAAUCGCCAGCGGGCGGGAAAGUGCAACAGAAAGUAAACCGCCCUUGGGGAAGGAUGAAUUUUGAAGGAUGAAGGAUGAAUCAAAGACAUUGUUUGUUUUCCAUUCAACCUUCAUCCUUCAAAAUUCAUCCUUCCCCAAGGGUAAGGGUGAAACGGUGCGGGGCGAAAGCCCUUAAUGUAAGAGCGCACCAGCGGCGAGGUGACUCGUCGGCUCGGUAAACCCCACCGGGAGCAAGGUCAAACAGGAGACAGGGUCGGCCCGACCCGUUACGAUCUCCGGGUAGACUGCUUGAUCCCACGGGCAACCGUGGGGCUAGAUAAAUGACCGUCGCCCGUUCGCAAGGACGGGGACAAAACCCGGCUUACAGGCCGGCCGACAGA